rnacentral:tRNA from 1 species
GCGCCUGUGGCUCAGUGGAAAGAGCGCUCGGUUCCGAGCCGAGGGGUCGGGAGUUCGAUUCUCUCCAGGCGCGCCA